rnacentral:sRNA from 1 species
ACCUCAACUUCCCAGUGUCUGCCGUGCCCUGAGAUCAGUCCUUGGCUCCCCACCGCUCGCUCUCCCAAGCAGAGGACUUUGGCUUCCAAGUCCCCGGAGGGAGGAGCCUGGGCGACCACCAUUCUGGAGAGGGGAGGCAGCUCUUCACACCGCCUGCAGAGACCCUCCUGUCUCUGCCUCCUGAGUAUGGACAGAGAUAAAGACGCGUGCAGCCACGCCCCACCCUACAGCAACUGCCCAUCUGGAGUCCCCCACAGGCCCACCCACUGGCCUUGUGUGAAGCUGACCCUGGUCAACGCUGGGCUGGUUCCGAGUCUGCCACCACUGCACCCUGACUUCUUGAGCUCUGGGGAUUAGACUCAGGUCCCCACGCUGACGUACUCAAGGUCACUGUUACCCUAGGGACCUGUGAUGAGGGGACAGCAAGCUGGAGGCUGUGUGUGCCGGAGAGGAGAGGGCUCAGAAGACAAGGUGCCAGUCACACCAUCAUGAAGACAUGGGUUCCAGGCCCCAUGCAGAGCACCCAGCCGCCAGCUCGACCUAAUGAGGAGCUCCAGCUUCAGUGAGGCAGCGAGUGGGGGUGGCGAGAGGGCACAGCAGGUGAAGGUGCUUGCAGCCAGGCCUUGGCUACCUGAGUUUAAUCCCCAAAACUCCAAGACUGAAGGAGAGCAUCAACUAUGGGCAAACUGCCCUUUCAUCUCCCCCUCCCUCUCCCCCUCCCUCUUCCUCUCCCCCCCUCACUCUUACAAAGCACA